rnacentral:rRNA from 1 species
CUCUAAUGAGACUGCCGGUGACAAACCGGAGGAAGGUGGGGAUGACGUCAAGUCCUCAUGGCCCUUAUGGGUAGGGCUUCACACGUCAUACAAUGGUACAUACAGAGCGCCGCCAACCCGCGAGGGGGAGCUAAUCGCAGAAAGUGUAUCGUAGUCCGGAUUGUAGUCUGCAACUCGACUGCAUGAAGUUGGAAUCGCUAGUAAUCGCGGAUCAGCAUGUCGCGGUGAAUACGUUCCCGGGUCUU